UACGUAGGGGGCUAGCGUUGUCCGGAAUCAUUGGGCGUAAAGCGCGUGUAGGCGGUUCGGUAAGUCCGCUGUGAAAGUCGGGGGCUCAACCCUCGAAUGCCGGUGGAUACUGUCGGGCUAGAGUGCGGAAGAGGCGAGUGGAAUUCCUGGUGUAGCGGUGAAAUGCGCAGAUAUCAGGAGGAACACCAAUUGCGGAGGCAGCUCGCUGGGACGUUACUGACGCUGAGACGCGAAAGCGUGGGGAGCAAACAGG
rnacentral:rRNA from 1 species